CAUUACAAGAACGCCCGGGCUUCGGCCUGGUUAUUCAUAACCCUUUGUUGUCCGACUCUGUUGCCUCCGGGGCGACCCUGCCUUCGGGCGGGGGCUCCGGGUGGACACUUCAAACUCUUGCGUAACUUUGCAGUCUGAGUAAACUUAAUUAAUAAAUUAAAACUUUUAACAACGGAUCUCUUGGUUCUGGCAUCGAUGAAGAACGCAGCGAAAUGCGAUAAGUAAUGUGAAUUGCAGAAUUCAGUGAAUCAUCGAAUCUUUGAACGCACAUUGCGCCCCCUGGUAUUCCGGGGGGCAUGCCUGUUCGAGCGUCAUUUCACCACUCAAGCCUCGCUUGGUAUUGGGCAACGCGGUCCGCCGCGUGCCUCAAAUCGUCCGGCUGGGUCUUCUGUCCCCUAAGCGUUGUGGAAACUAUUCGCUAAAGGGUGUUCGGGAGGCUACGCCGUAAAACAACCCCAUUUCUAAGGUUGACCUCGGAUCAGGUAGGGAUACCCGCUGAACUUAAGCAUAUCAAU
rnacentral:rRNA from 1 species